rnacentral:rRNA from 1 species
CCCAGCAAUGGGAUGCGAAUCUCGAAAGCCUGUCUCAGUUCGGAUUGGAGGCUGAAACCCGCCUCCAUGAAGUUGGAUUCGCUAGUAAUCGCGCAUCAGCCAUGGCGCGGUGAAUACGUUCCCGGGCCUUGUACACACCGCCCGUCAAGCCAUGGGAGCCGGGGGUGCCUGAAGUUCGUGACCGCAAGGAGCGACCUAGGGCAAAACUGGUGACUGGGGCUAAGUCGUAACAAGGUACC